rnacentral:lncRNA from 10 species
ACCUCUGCCUCCCAAAGUACUGGGAUUACAGGCGUGAGCCACCGCACUUGGCUAUGCCCAGCCAUUUCUAUUAUUUUCUUUUUCUUUCUUUCCUUUUUUUUUUUUGAGACGGAGUUUUGCUAUUGUUGCUCAGGCUGGAGUGCAAUGGCGCAAUCUCGGCUCACUGCAACCUCUGCCUCCUGGGUUCAAGUGAUUCUCCUGCCUCAGCCUCCCGAGUAGCUGGGAUUACAGAUACCCACCACCAUGCCCAGCUAAUUUUUUUGUAUUUUUAGUAGAGAUGGGGUUUCACCAUGUUGCCAUGUUGGCCAGGCUGGUCUUGAACUCCUGACCUCGGGUGAUCUGCCCGCCUUGGCUUCCCAAAGUGCUGGGAUUACAGGCACGAGCCACCACGCAUGGCCCAUUUCUAUUAUUUUCUAUAUAGUAAGAAAUAGUUCUUGUUAUUUUUGCCUCAUGACAAAGGCUAUGAUGGUAGAGAUAGAAAAAUAGAAAGCUGGGCAUUAUGUAAUACAUUAUUUUAUUGUACUUUGUGUGUGUGUGUGUGUUUUUUUUUUUUGUUUUUUGUUUUUUUUUGAGACAGCCUCUAGCUCUGUCACCCAGGCUGGGGUGCAAUGGCGUGAUCUUAGGUCACUGCAACUUCCACCUCCUGGGUUCAAGCGAUUCUCCUGCCUCAGCCUCCAGAGUAGCUGGGAUUACAGGUGCGCGCCACCACACCUAGCUAAUUUUUUUUUGUAUUUUUAGUAGAAAUGGGAUUUCACCAUGUUGGCCAGGCUGGUCUCAAACUCCUGACCUCAAGUGAUCUGCCCGCCUCAGCCUGUCAAAGUCUGGAAUUACAGGCGAGAGCCACCGCGGCCAGUCGAUUUUAUUUUAUUUUCUGAGUCAGGGUCUUGCUCUGUCAUCCAGGCUGGAGUUCAGUGAUGUGAUCACAGCUCACUGCAGCCUCAACCUUCUGGUCUCAAGCGAUUAUCUCACCUCAGGCUCCCUAUUAGCUGGGAAUACAGGCACGUGCCACCAUGCCCAGCUAAUUUUUGUAUUUUUUUGUAAAGACGGGGUUUUGCCAUGUUGCCCAGGCUGGUCUGGAACUCCUGGGUUCAAACAAUCUGCCCACCUCAGCCUCCCAAACUGCUGGAAUUACAGGUGUGAGCCACCACACCUGGCCUAUGUAAUAAAUUUGAUCAUGACAUAAGUUGCUGGUUUUUCUGCGUGAUUUGUCAAUUUUUAAAAAUUGCACAAGUGAACCAGGCACAGUGGUUCACAUCUGUAAUCCCUAAACUUUGGGGGGUUGAGGCAGGAGGAUCAUUUGAGCCCAGGAGUUCCAGACCAGCCUGGGCAACAUAAGGAAACCCUGUCUCUAUUUAAAAAAAAAAAACAUUGCACAAGCAAUACACAAAAUUAUUAUCUUAAACUUCUAUAGACCCAGAAGACUAUAAAGAAGUGAAAGCUGGCUAAAAAGCUUUUUUUUUUUAAAUUUAAUAAAUCAUGAACAGGUGUUAGCUGGGCACCGUGGCUCAUGCCUGUAACCCCAGCACUUUGGGAGGCCGAGGCAGGCAGAUCACCGGAGGUCAGGAGUUCGAGACCAGCCUCGCUAACAUAGCGAAACCCCGUUGCUACUAAAAAUACAAAAAUUAGCUGGACGUGGUGGCGGGCAUCUGUAAUCCCAGCUACUCAGGAGGCUGAGUCAGGAGAAUCACUUGAACUUGGGACGUGGAGACUGUGGCGAGUCAAGAUGGCACCACUGCACUCCAGCCUGGGCAACAGAGCGAGACUCCAUCUCAAAAAAAAAGAAAAAAAUGAACAGGUGUUGAAUUUUACAAAAUACUAUUUUCAUAUCUCCUGAAAUAAUCAUAAGCAUUUUCUUUGUUAAUUUUUCAAUACAAUAAAUUACAUAGAUAAAUUUCUUGGCUGGGUGCGGUGGCUCACGUCUGUAAUUCCAGCACUUUGGGAGGCCAAGGCAGGCGGAUCACUUGAGGUCAAGAGUCCAAGACCAGCCUGGCAAACAUGGUGAAACCCUGUCUCUAUUAAAAAUACAAAAAUUAGCCUGGCAUGGUGGUGCAUGCCUGUAAUUCCAGCUACUUGGGAGGCUGAGGCAGGAGAAUCACUUGAACUUUGGAGGCAGAGGUUGCAGUGAGCCAAGAUGGCGCUACUGCACUCCAGCCUGGGCUACAGAGUGAGACUCCGUCUCAAAAAAAAAAAAGAAAGCAAAAAGAAAAAAUUCCUAUAUGUAGUCAAUCUUGUUUACCUGGAAUAAACCCUACAGGUUGUGAUAUAUUAUUCUUUUAAUAUUAUGUUGUUUGUUAAUAUUAGGUUUGGUUUAUUAAUAUUAUAACUUUGGCAUACAUGUUCAUAAGUAAUAGUGACCAAUAAUUCCCUUUCUUUUCCUUCCUUUCUUCCUUCUUUCCUUCUGUGUUUCCCUCACUCUCUCCCUUCUUUCCUUCCUUCCUCUCUCUUCCUUGGUGCUGUACAGCCUUGCCCAGUUUUUUUUGUUUUGUUUUGUUUUGUUUUUUGAGAUGGAGUCUCCCUCUGUAACCCAGGCUGGAGUGCAGUGGCACGAUCUCGGCUC